rnacentral:rRNA from 1 species
AGAGUUUGAUCCUGGCUCAGGAUGAACGCUAGCGGCAGGCCUAACACAUGCAAGUCGAGGGGCAGCACGGUGUAGCAAUACACUGGUGGCGACCGGCGCACGGGUGCGUAACGCGUAUGCAACCUACCCAUAACAGGGGGAUAACACUGAGAAAUUGGUACUAAUACCCCAUAACAUCAGGACCGGCAUCGGUUCUGGUUGAAAACUCCGGUGGUUAUGGAUGGGCAUGCGUUGUAUUAGCUGGUUGGUGAGGUAACGGCUCACCAAGGCAACGAUACAUAGGGGGACUGAGAGGUUAACCCCCCACAUUGGUACUGAGACACGGACCAAACUCCUACGGGAGGCAGCAGUGAGGAAUAUUGGUCAAUGGACGCAAGUCUGAACCAGCCAUGCCGCGUGCAGGAAGACGGCUCUAUGAGUUGUAAACUGCUUUUGUACGAGAGUAAACGCUCUUACGUGUAAGAGCCUGAAAGUAUCGUACGAAUAAGGAUCGGCUAACUCCGUGCCAGCAGCCGCGGUAAUACGGAGGAUCCAAGCGUUAUCCGGAUUUAUUGGGUUUAAAGGGUGCGUAGGCGGUUUGAUAAGUUAGAGGUGAAAUACCGGUGCUUAACACCGGAACUGCCUCUAAUACUGUUGAACUAGAGAGUAGUUGCGGUAGGCGGAAUGUAUGGUGUAGCGGUGAAAUGCUUAGAGAUCAUACAGAACACCGAUUGCGAAGGCAGCUUACCAAACUAUAUCUGACGUUGAGGCACGAAAGCGUGGGGAGCAAACAGGAUUAGAUACCCUGGUAGUCCACGCAGUAAACGAUGAUAACUCGCUGUCGGCGAUACACAGUCGGCGGCUAAGCGAAAGCGAUAAGUUAUCCACCUGGGGAGUACGUUCGCAAGAAUGAAACUCAAAGGAAUUGACGGGGGCCCGCACAAGCGGAGGAACAUGUGGUUUAAUUCGAUGAUACGCGAGGAACCUUACCCGGGCUUGAAAGUUAGUGACGAUUCUGGAAACAGGAUUUCCCUUCGGGGCACGAAACUAGGUGCUGCAUGGUUGUCGUCAGCUCGUGCCGUGAGGUGUCGGGUUAAGUCCCAUAACGAGCGCAACCCCUACCGUUAGUUGCCAUCAGGUCAAGCUGGGCACUCUGGCGGGACUGCCGGUGUAAGCCGAGAGGAAGGUGGGGAUGACGUCAAAUCAGCACGGCCCUUACGUCCGGGGCUACACACGUGUUA